GAUGUCAAGGGUUAAUAACAGUAACACAUUGAUUGCAUAAAUAUUGCUGUGUAUGUAAGAUUGUCAUGUGUAAGUCUUGUGAUGACUAUAUAUAGUAAUGGCCAGUUUCAAACGGAUGAUCACGAGUGUUUAAGAUUAGGCAAGAAGUAACGACAGCUUUGCUAGCAGCAACGCCCGAAGGGGCGUCCGCCCAGUAACAGUGUAUUAACCAAUGAUAAUAAGACAUGUAUAUGCAUUUCCUUCUGUUGUGAAUGCCCUAUAAAAGGGAAAGCCCGCGUCAUAAAGAGCAGAAUGAUUUUUAACCUAUUACCGUGUCAGUCUCAUUACUGCAAGGGCUAAAUUCAUUCUCCUGGUACCAAAGGGGACAUCGUAACUAAGGAAAACACCCAACAUGGAUCCAUGCCACCAGAGUGAAAUUGGUCCCCAGAGCAAGACUGAGAGCAGAACCGGUCAAUGCAGAUGACCAAAACGAAGGGGAAAGCCCAAUCCUCCAACAAGGGGUACUAACAGGAGCAAAUGACUCCGACCUCCCACAAAUUGGAUCUGAGGUAAUAACGAGGGCUGACAGCCCAGGCCUCCGACAAGAUGACAUCGCUUAUUUCACCACAGACUUCUGGGAAAGCCUUGUGCCUCCUAUUUUGGACUGUCCUAAUCGUAUUCCUGCCAGUUUGGCUGAUAACUAACUGUAUCUAUCACCCUGAAGAUUUGGGACAUAUAAAGAGCAUUUGUGGAAAUCCAACACUCCACAACAGGACAAUACCAAUAACACACAUGAUAGACACAAGAGAAAUGAGAACUCAGAGGGUUUUACAGACAAAAUGCUAUUAUUAAAGUUUAAAUAUGUCUAUGCCCAGAAAUCUGGAUAUGAAAAAUGUAGGAUAUGUAGUAAGCUCCAUCCUAGCACUACUAGGAUUCCCCUAAUGGCAGUACCUCGAAACUUCACCCCUUUCCUUAAUAACAUACCUCCCCUCGUCCUUACCAAUAUCACAAGAAUGUUUUCAAAUGAUACCCCUACUUUUCAAAUCAUGAGUAGAAGUUAUUUCCCAGACUGGUGUUUUAGGUUAGGGGUCUCCACAAAAGGGGCUGAAGUUUGCCAACAAGCUAAAAUUAACUUUUCAAUGACUUCAAUUGAAAGCCCUUUCUUUCACACCUAAACAUCACUCUAAUGAACUUUCUUAGCUCCAGUUCCACCUCCCCAGUGGGCCAGUUAUUGGCGAGUUUAACCUUUUCCAGUCUUUGACAAAAUGAUGUCAAUAUUCAACAAGCGACCCUUAGCUUUAGGGAACAAUAUUUACAUCUGUUGUGGGAAAACAUGCCAUCCAUGGAUUCCCAUAGAUCCUCAGGGAUGGUGUUACCUUGCAUCACUGAUCCCUAUAAUGGGUGUGUUAGGGAAUGAUAAGGGAAGACAUCUAUUAGAGGCCAGCAUGCACCCCAGAUAUCCCCUUUAGUAUCGUGGGAAACGGGAUUUGUUCCAGGAGAAAGAUAUGGCUUGGGCAUGGUUCCCCUCAUGGAGUGGGUGGGGGAUAGACUUAAUGAAAAGGUUGAAUAAAUAUGCUGGAAUUAUUGAUGAAAUAAUGGAGAAGAACUCUGAUGAUAUUACUAAAUUAAAUAUAGAAACUAGAGCAAUUAGGGAGCAAUUGUUAUUGUGAAAAAUACAAUUAGUACUACAAUGACAAUUAGAAUUGAGGAAGAUCACCCCAGGGAAGAGAUAGAGUGUUAUCAGAUUGUCAGAUUAGCAGAUUCGUAUGAUGCCAAGACGGGUGAUAUGAAUGAGUAAAAGAUAUGUAUCCACAUACACCUUAAGAAGAUCUUUGCUCCACAUAGAUGUGAAGUAGUACUGUGGACCCUUUGGUGUCAUACUAGGUAGAGAAGAUAUGGUAGUGACCCCGCAAUAGGGUACUGAUAAUGUUGAGAUAUAUAUAUAUAUCUAUAAAGAAGUAAGCAAAUUACAAAUGUACUAUUAAGCUAGGAAUAUUGCCAAAACCUGGGAUCUUUUUGCAAACUUAAGUUUUGAGCAGGAAUGCUGACAUGGUUAAAAAGUGCUGCCCUAGCCAUCUUUAUGAUUAUUCUUAUAUGCUUGUUAUAGGCUCAUAAUGUGCAUAGUUGUUAAAAUGUCCCAAAUACCCGACCCAGCAGCUGCGAAUAGAAUUUAUCUGAAUAUGUAUCAUGAUAAAAGAAGGAUGGAGAAGGAGAACCACAUAAUUUAGAAUUAUUUGGAUUCUAAGAGGGGAUUGGAGGGAUGUCAAUGGUUAAUAACAGUAACACAUUGAUUGCAUAAAUAUUGCUGUGUAUUGUCAUGUGUAAGUCUUGUGAUGACUAUAUAUAGUAAUGGCCAGUUUCAAACGGAUGAUCACGAGUGUUUAAGAUUAGGCAAGAAGUAACGACAGCUUUGCUAGCAGCAACGCCCGAAGGGGCGUCCGCCCAGUAACAGUGUAUUAACCAAUGAUAAUAAGACAUGUAUAUGCAUUUCCUUCUGUUGUGAAUGCCCUAUAAAAGGGAAAGCCCACGUCAAAAAGAGCAGAAUGAUUUUUAACCUA